CGUGUGUGGUCAGGUCUCGCUGCUGUGACAAUGUGCCAUUCAAGAACUGGACAUUCAAUCAUUUGCACGCGUCAAACUGGUCAACACAGUCGCCCUCAGUAUCAGCCCAAAGACUAGUAGAACAUCUUAGGUGUAUUGCUGCCCUCCACAGGCUAUUAACAGAAUGUCCUCCUUCUGUCCUAUGGCCCACACUACAGACUUGGACACAAACAGGACAGGAAGUAAUAAGCAGUUAAGGACGUCAAAACAAAAUGUAUGCAUUCUUUCUAACGGCCGCUGGGUGGAAGCAGAGGCUCCAUGUAUUACCUGAAGAAACAUUUGACUUCUGACCUUUCCACAUUAUUUAUCUCAU